GACGAACGCUGGCGGCGUGCUUAACACAUGCAAGUCGAACGGAAAGGCCUCUUUCGGGGGGUACUCGAGUGGCGAACGGGUGAGUAACACGUGAGUAACCUGCCCUUGACUUUGGGAUAACUUCAGGAAACUGGGGCUAAUACCGGAUAGGAGCUCCUGCUGCAUGGUGGGGGUUGGAAAGUUUCGGCGGUUGGGGAUGGACUCGCGGCUUAUCAGCUUGUUGGUGGGGUAGUGGCUUACCAAGGCUUUGACGGGUAGCCGGCCUGAGAGGGUGACCGGCCACAUUGGGACUGAGAUACGGCCCAGACGCCUACGGGAGGCAGCAGUGGGGAAUAUUGCACAAGGGGUGGAAGCCUGAUGCAGCAACGCCGUGUGCGGGAUGACGGCCUUCGGGUUGGAAACCGCUUUCGCUCAUGACGAAGCUUUGUGUGACGGUAGUGGGUAAAGAAGCACCGGCUAACUACGUG
rnacentral:rRNA from 1 species